CCUACGGGCGGCAGCAGUGAGGAAUAUUGGUCAAUGGCCGGAAGGCUGAACCAGCCAAGUCGCGUGAGGGAAUAAGGCCCUAUGGGUCGUAAACCUCUUUUGUCAGGGAGCAAAGGCGUCCACGUGUGGACGAGAGGAGAGUACCUGAAGAAAAAGCAUCGGCUAACUGCGUGCCAGCAGCCGCGGUAAUACGGAGGAUGCGAGCGUUAUCCGGAUUUAUUGGGUUUAAAGGGUGCGUAGGCGGACGCUUAAGUCAGCGGUAACAUUGCGGGGCUCAACCUCGUCGAGCCGUUGAAACUGGGUGCAGUGAGUGGGCGAGAAGUACGCGGAAUGCGUGGUGUAGCGGUGAAAUGCAUAGAUAUCACGCAGAACUCCGAUUGCGAAGGCAGCGUACCGGCGCCCAACUGACGCUGAAGCACGAAGGCGUGGGUAUCGAACAGGAUUAGAUACCCGAGUAGUC
rnacentral:rRNA from 1 species